UGAGGAAUAUUGGUCAAUGGGUGAGAGCCUGAACCAGCCAAGUCGCGUGAAGGAAGACUGCCUUAUGGGUUGUAAACUUCUUUUAUAGGAGAAUAAAAAAGGGUAUGCAUACCCUAUUGCAUGUAUCCUAUGAAUAAGCAUCGGCUAACUCCGUGCCAGCAGCCGCGGUAAUACGGAGGAUGCGAGCGUUAUCCGGAUUUAUUGGGUUUAAAGGGUGCGCAGGCGGGAAUUUAAGUCAGCGGUGAAAUCUCGACGCUCAACGUCGAAACUGCCAUUGAAACUGGAUUUCUUGAGUAUAGAUGAAGUAGGCGGAAUUCGUUGUGUAGCGGUGAAAUGCAUAGAUAUAACGAGGAACCCCAAUUGCGUAGGCAGCUUACUAAACUAUAACUGACGCUCAAGCACGAAAGCGUGGGUAUCAAACA
rnacentral:rRNA from 1 species